AUAUCAGUAAGCGGAGGAAAAGAAACCAACAGGGAUUGCCCUAGUAACGGCGAGUGAAGCGGCAUCAGCUCAAAUUUGAAAUCUGGCUCUUUCAGAGUCCGAGUUGUAAUUUGCAGAGGGCGCUUUGGUGUCGGCAGCGGUUCAAGUUCCUUGGAACAGGACGUCACAGAGGGUGAGAAUCCCGUACGUGGUCGCUGACCUACACCGUGUAAAGCCCCUUCGACGAGUCGAGUUGUUUGGGAAUGCAGCUCUAAAUGGGAGGUAAAUUUCUUCUAAAGCUAAAUACUGGCCAGAGACCGAUAGCGCACAAGUA
rnacentral:rRNA from 1 species